rnacentral:rRNA from 1 species
CCUACGGGUGGCAGCAGUGGGGAAUAUUGGACAAUGGGGGAAACUCUGAUCCAGCGACGCCGCGUGAGUGAAGAAGUAUUUCGGUACGUAAAGCUCUUUCAGCAGGGAAGAAAAUGGCGGUACCUGAGUAAGAAGCCCCGGCUAACUACGUGCCAGCAGCCGCGGUAAUACGUCGGGUGCAACCGUUAUCCGGAUGUACUGGGUGUAAAGGGAGCGUAGACGGCAGCGCAAGUCUGGAGUGAAAGGCCGGGGCCCAACCGCUGAACUGCCCUGGAUACUGGGAAGCUGGAGUGCAGGUGAGGUAAGCGGAAUGCGUGGUGUAGCGGUGAAAUGCGUAGAUAUCAGGAAGAACACCGACUGCGAAGGCGGCUUACUAAACUGUAACUGACGUUGAGGCUCGAAGGCGUGGGGAUCAAACAGGAUUAGAUACCCUUGUAGUC